rnacentral:rRNA from 1 species
AGUGAACGCUGGCGGUAGGCCUAACACAUGCAAGUCGAACGGCAGCACAGUAAGAGCUUGCUCUUACGGGUGGCGAGUGGCGGACGGGUGAGGAAUACAUCGGAAUCUACUUUUUCGUGGGGGAUAACGUAGGGAAACUUACGCUAAUACCGCAUACGACCUACGGGUGAAAGCAGGGGAUCUUCGGACCUUGCGCGAUUGAAUGAGCCGAUGUCGGAUUAGCUAGUUGGCGGGGUAAAGGCCCACCAAGGCGACGAUCCGUAGCUGGUCUGAGAGGAUGAUCAGCCACACUGGAACUGAGACACGGUCCAGACUCCUACGGGAGGCAGCAGUGGGGAAUAUUGGACAAUGGGCGCAAGCCUGAUCCAGCCACACCGCGUGGGUGAAGAAGGCCUUCGGGUUGAAAAGCCCUUUUGUUGGGAAAGAAAAGCAGCAGGUUAAUACCCCGCUGUUCUGACGGUACCCAAAGAAUAAGCACCGGCUAACUUCGUG